CUUUGGGAGCCUCACCAAAUCAAAAGAGAACAGUUCUUUUGAAUUGGAGAAAAUACAUAGGACAGAUGCUUCUUCUUCAUCCAGAGAAUGGGUACAAAAACUGGACACUGGAAGUACCUGACCAUUCCAAACAACUAGAUGGAUCAAGUUGUGGCAUCGUCUGUCUUUUGUUUGCUGAGAAAUAUCUGGCUGGACAAUCUCUGCUUGGUAUAACUCAGGAAGAAGUAAAUAAUAAAAGGGUAAUGAUAGCACACACACUGAUGAUGUUUGAAG